rnacentral:lncRNA from 10 species
AAGAACUCUGGACUCAGGGACGCCAGACACAGUUAAGGCAUGGGGAUUUUCUGCUGGAAGGUAGUAACUCCACAGCCCCACUGGGAUCAGAGGCUCACAGCUCUGACAGCUUGAAGAGAUUGCUGUAAUUAUAAGAAUGGAAAUAGUACUGAUUAUCAAGAGCUCGUUAGUGCAUAGUACGGAGAUGAUAUCAUCUUUUGAAAAGUCUUAAGAGGCUGCAAUCUGGCUUUCAUUUGCAAAUUUCUGUUCCCACCCUUAGUUUUUCUUUGUUCAUAUUUUGAGAGGAUAAACAAGCACUUUUUUUUGCAUUGAAAUAUGAACUAUUCCCAAGAGAAGAUGCUCCUCUAGGGGAAAUGCACUGGCCCUACCUGGGCCGAUGGAGAAUGACAUUGAAUGAGAAGUUGGCUGCUGCCAUCAGUGGAGAUGAUGCCAGAAGAACGAAAAGACCUGGACCUUGCUUCUAUCCACCCAGCUACCCAUCCUCCUUCCUCAUUCUUAUUUCCCCAAUAUUUUUCCCCCUCUGGAAAUAGGGGAGGCCUCUGAUGUGCCCUCAGUCAUACUUCUCUAUUUCUCUAGUCUUCUUAUUUUAAAAUUAGUAUACUAAUAUUUAUAAAGCUGUCAUGAAUACUUAUAAUUAAUAUCAAAUUUAUUAAUCAAUAAACAUGAUAUAAUUAAUUAUAUUAAUUUAUAAAUAAUAACUUAUAAACAUG